GACGAACGCUGGCGGCGUGCUUAACACAUGCAAGUCGAACGGAAAGACCCUGCUUUUGUGGGGUGCUCGAGUGGCGAACGGGUGAGUAACACGUGAGUAACCUGCCCUUGACUUUGGGAUAACUUCAGGAAACUGGGGCUAAUACCGGAUAGGAGCUCCUGCUGCAUGGUGGGGGUUGGAAAGUUUCGGCGGUUGGGGAUGGACUCGCGGCUUAUCAGCUUGUUGGUGGGGUAGUGGCUUACCAAGGCUUUGACGGGUAGCCGGCCUGAGAGGGUGACCGGCCACAUUGGGACUGAGAUACGGCCCAGACUCCUACGGGAGGCAGCAGUGGGGAAUAUUGCACAAUGGGCGGAAGCCUGAUGCAGCAACGCCGCGUGCGGGAUGACGGCCUUCGGGUUGUAAACCGCUUUCGCCUGUGACGAAGCGUGAGUGACGGUAAUGGGUAAGGAAGCACCGGCUAACUACGUG
rnacentral:rRNA from 1 species